rnacentral:sRNA from 1 species
UUUUUUUCUUCCUUUU